rnacentral:rRNA from 1 species
GACGAACGCUGGCGGCGUGCCUAAUACAUGCAAGUCGAACGGAGUGGCUAACGGGUGAGUAAUGUAUCGGAACGUGCCCAGUAGCGGGGGAUAACUACGCGAAAGCGUAGCUAAUACCGCAUACUAUUGGAGCGGCCGAUAUCGGAUUGGCUCGUUGGUGGGGUAACGGCUCACCAAGGCGACGAUCCGUAGCUGGUUUGAGAGGACGACCAGCCACACUGGGACGGAGACACGGCCCGGACUCCUACGGGAGGCAGCAGUGGGGAGUUUUGGACAAUGGGGGAAACCCUGAUCCAGCCAUCCCGCGUGUGCGAUGAAGGCCUUCGGGUUGUAAAGCACUUUUGGCAGGAAAGCGGUACCUGCAGAAUAAGCACCGGCUAACUACGUGCCAGCCGCCGCGGUAAUAC